CAGCCACCUCCUCGCCCGACGCCCCCAAACGCCCCACGCCGAAACCACCUCUACCUCACGUGAUCUUCGUUUGGAUCUCGCCGGAGCCGAGACGGUUCACCGUAGAUCCCGACGCCGGGAGCACCGGAGCCUCGCCGUGGACCUCACCCGACAUUGCCGGAGCAUUGAGUUCAUCUCGACGCUCCGCUCACCUCCGUCAUCCCCGACCUCCACCUUCAACUAAAAAUCGGACCCCCUCGGAGUCCUCCACCCGCUGGACAUCGCCGCCUCCACCGCCGGCCGCCGGAGCAGUCACCCUCGCUGGCGCUCUUCUUCUCUACAAGGGCCGCCCUCUCUGAUUUUCUUCGACGAGUAAGAGUUACGAUACAAGGUUACGGUCUACACUCAACUUGCUGAUGGCGUUGAUGGGACUCCAC